rnacentral:rRNA from 1 species
CCAACAGGGAUUGCCCUAGUAACGGCGAGUGAAGCGGCAACAGCUCAAAUUUGAAAUCUGGCUCUUUCAGGGUCCGAGUUGUAAUUUGUAGAGGGUGCUUUGGAGUUGACUGUGGUCUAAGUUCCUUGGAACAGGACGUCGCAGAGGGUGAGAAUCCCGUAUGUGGCCGCCAGUCUUCGCCGUGUAAAGCCCCUUCGACGAGUCGAGUUGUUUGGGAAUGCAGCUCUAAAUGGGAGGUAAAUUUCUUCUAAAGCUAAAUAUUGGCCAGAGACCGAUAGCGCACAAGUAGAGUGAUCGAAAGAUGAAAAGCACUUUGGAAAGAGAGUCAAAAAGCACGUGAAAUUGUUGAAAGGGAAGCGCUUGCAGCCAGACUUGCCUGUAGUUGCUCAUCCGGGCUUUUGCCCGGUGCACUCUUCUAUAGGCAGGCCAGCAUCAGUCCUGGCGGUUGGAUAAAUGCCUGUUGAAUGUACCUCUCCUCGGGGAGGACUUAUAGCUUCGGGCGGCAUACAACCAGCUGGGAUUGAGGUCCGCGCAUCUGCUAGGAUGCUGGCGUAAUGGCUGUAAGCGGCCCGUCUUGAAACACGGACCAAGGAGUCUAACAUCUAUGCGAGUGUUUGGGUGUCAAGCCCGAGCGCGUAAUGAAAGUGAACGGAGGUGGGAACCCCUCGGGGUGCACCAUCGACCGAUCCUGAUGUCUUCGGAUGGAUUUGAGUAAGAGCAUAGCUGUUGGGACCCGAAAGAUGGUGAACUAUGCCUGAAUAGGGUGAAGCCAGAGGAAACUCUGGUGGAGGCUCGCAGCGGUUCUGACGUGCAAAUCGAUCGUCAAAUUUGGGCAUAGGGGCGAAAGACUAAUCGAACUAUCUAGUAGCUGGGUUCU